CACAAUAACAAUCCUAAAACAAAAGCUAUUUAAAAAAAUAAAAUAUUUUUCUCUGUUUGAGGACAACUCAGAACUCGGUGGCUUUGAAGGUAGGCUCUGGAACAUCUGAGGAGAAAGCAAGAACACCCACGUUGCAGGAGGACUCAGUUCUUGGCUAGGACUCACAUAGCCCCAGGUCUGGUUCUCACCUGUGUCCUCCAGCCUAAGUAUACUUCGUCUCAACAGUUUCUCCCUAGAGGAAGUGAGGAACAGAUGGGGAGCACGGCUUCUGUGUGCAUUAGGCCCCACCCAUCAACUAUCCUCCACCACUUCCUCCCCAGACCGGGACUUACCCUUUCCUCCUCCUCCUCGCCAUGGUAGUUCUUGUCGCCAUGUAAACAUACACUCUGGGCAGUAGGACCGGGACUAACACCAUCACAAGCACCCCUGGCAGGAUGGCCACUAAGCUGGAUGCUUCUGAAAGGAAACAGCAAAGGCACCGGGGCAUUGGCUUGGUGGGUAACGUUACCUCAACAAGAACAGAUAUCACAGCUGGUUGUGGUAGUGCAAGCCUGUGAUCCCAGCAAGAGCAAGAUGUGAGGAAGGUGCAGACUUCCCGAGACCAAGCGGGAACCCCAGCCAACGGAGGAUAGGGGGAGAGGGAGGCUAUCCCUUCCCUAGCUUUGGAGACCAGAAGGACCCAGGCUCACCCCGGAAGCAGUCUCGAGUAAAGUUGGCCACCAUGCAGGACUCUCCACCUCUGCAGCCAUAGGGCUCGCACAGCAGGAUCCCUCGGCUUGCACAGGAGCAGCGCUGGGAGCAGUUGUUAGUUACGAAGCUGUCACCCAGCUGGAAGAGAGGAGGUGAAGACAGGAGACGGUCUAGACUCAUCCGGCAUCCCAUUCUCUGCACCUGGGCUCCCAGGCUUCUCUGCCAUCCGGACCUUGUAAUAGAUGCCAUUGGUGGUGCAGCCACAGUGCGUCACUGGGAGGCUCUGUGUGUCACUGUAGAUGUAGCCUGGGAGACUGGCACAGCCUUCCACGCAGGGGCCUUCACAGACCUUGGGGGUCACAAAUUUGGCACAGGUUGCUGGGCAGGGUGUCAUGCAGCUCUGAUACACAGUAUUGGCAGGACACGUCAUGGCUGAGGGGACAGAAACAUAGUUAGGAGCUGGCUGGCUUGGGUCCAAACAGAUAAAGGGACUAGUGGGCAAGAAAAAGGGGGGGGGGAUAAGGUCACCCAACAGAGAUCCCUGCCGACAGGGAGUCCAGAACAAGCGGGCCAGGUCUGUUUGAAGAGUUUGUCUGGGGCACAAGACAAGAUGGAAACAGAUGAAGACUGGAAGGGUGGGCACCAAGGCAUGCAAGUGAGUUUUCUGGAGAUGGACCGCCAUUUUGCACGGCCUGCGAUGGGUGCACUCUGAGAUGCAGGAUCCUCAGAGACUUCAUCCCAGGAUUGCUUCCUGCUGCUGCUAUGCCUGUCCUGUCCCUGUGACAUCGCCUAAUGUCAGCAUUACAUAGCAUCAGCCCACCCUAUUAAGGAAAUUUCCUGCAGAUCAACUUGAAGACGAACCUUCAUAAAUUAAUGCUGUUUAGAUGAAAGACUACCAUGAGUUUGAGGCCAGCUAGGUUUACGGAGUGAGAUUCUGUCUCCUAGAGCCAAAAACAGGAGCUAGAGAGGUGGCUCCACAGUUAAGAGCACUUGCUGAAAAUCCUGGUUCAAUUCCCAGCUCCUUCACAGCAGCUCAGCACCCUCCAGAACUCUAGUUUCAGGGGAUCUUCUAGCCUCUGUGGGUGUGACUGGUUGCACAUGGUACACAGAAUGUAUGCAGACAAAGCUUUCAUAGGUAUACGUCACAUAAAAUCUUUUUAAAAAAGCCACCCCCAAGCAUAAACCAGGAGCUGACAGAUAGCUAAGCCAGUAAAAGUACCUCAAGCAGUGCUGGAGAGAUGGCUCAGCGGUUAAGAGCACAGACUGUUCUUCCAGAGGUCCUGAGUUCAAUUCCCAGUAACCACAUGGUGGCUCACAACCAUCUGUAUUUUUUUUUUAAACAUUUAUUUGUUAUGUAUACAUCAUACAGCUUUCUGCCUGCAUGUAC
ensembl:lncRNA